GACUUGAACAUGGGUGAUCAAUCCAUGACGAUGAUGAGCUUUGGUUAACUAAAUGGAGAUUUGAACCGACUAAUGUAGAAGAAUCACCGGAUGAGUUGUGGUUAGAAAUGUUACUCAAACCCACAAUUAGCUAG
rnacentral:ncRNA from 1 species